UGGUUGGAGUUCUAGAAAAGAAGGGUUCUUGAUGGGCAGCUAGAAAAGCCUCUUGGAGUCUCCCUCCCAUCCCCCUAAAAAAGGUACCAUUCAAGAUUGAGGAGAGCAGGUGUUGCCAUGGUUUUACAGUCCAGCAUCCUCCUCACAGAGCUACUUUCCCAGCAACAACCCUAAAAGAUGGUAAAAGGAUCAUUAACAACAUUUAACCAAUGAAGACACUGAAACUUAGAAAGGUUUAGGUGUAGUGAUCUCCACCAGAGAAGAGUUUGAGCCAUGGCCACCCUUGAGUCCAGAUUGCAGGUGAGAUAGUAUAACCAGCCAUCCUAGAAGGGAAACCCUAAGAAACCAGGAUGCCUGGGACUCAAGCUCAGAGGGAAGUUUGGACUUGGGACUUGGGCUUGUGAGCUAUAGAAUUUGAGUUCAGCUAUGAUUAAUCCACUUCCCUGCCCUAGAUACUGAGGUGCUACAGGGGGGAAGAAAUUGUUCUUCUUACACAUGGGGAAGUGCGU
rnacentral:lncRNA from 1 species